rnacentral:rRNA from 1 species
GAAGAAGUAACCCGGCGGACGGCUCAGUAACACGUGGAUAACUUGCCCUUGGGUCCGGGAUAACCCCUGAGAAAUUGGGGACAAUACCGGAUAGGGCAUCGAUAGCUGGAAUGCGCGAUGUCCAAAAGCUGAGGCGCCCAAGGAUAGGUCUGCGGCCGAUUAGGUUGUUGUUGAUGUAAUGGAUCAACAAGCCUGCAAUCGGUACGGGUUGUGAGAGCAAGAGCCCGGAGAUGGGUUCUGAGAAAAGAACCCAGGUCCUACGGGACGCAUCAGGCGCGAAAACUUUACAAUGUGCGAAUGCACGAUAAGGGAACUCUGAGUGCCUCCUAUGGAGGCUGUUCAGGUGUCUAAAAAGCACUUGAAGUAAGGGCUGGGUAAGACCGGUGCCAGCCGCCGCGGUAACACCGGCAGCCCAAGUGGUAGCCACGAUUAUUGGGUCUAAAGCGUCCGUAACCGGCCAGGUAAGUUCUUUGGGAAAUUUAACCGCUCAACGGUUAAGCUUUCAGGGAAUACUGCUUGGCUUGGGACCGGGAGAGGUCAGAGGUACUUCAAGGGUAGGGGUGAAAUCCGUUAAUCCUUGAGGGACCACCA